GUGCUCACUUUGUCAGCACAUAUACUAAAAUUGGAAUGAUACAGAGAAGAUUAGCAUGACCUCUGCACAGGGAUGACAUGCAAAUUCACGAAGCGUUCCAUAUUUUU